UACGUAGGGACCGAGCGUUGUCCGGAAUCAUUGGGCGUAAAGAGCGUGUAGGCGGUUCGGUAAGUCUGUCGUGAAAUCCUGAGGCUCAACCUCGGGCGUGCGAUGGAUACUGCCGGGCUAGAGGGUGGUAGAGGCGAGUGGAAUUCCCGGUGUAGCGGUGAAAUGCGCAGAUAUCGGGAAGAACAUCGGUGGCGAAAGCGCUCUGCUGGACUGCAACUGACACUCAGGGACGAAAGCUAGGGGAGCGAAUGGG
rnacentral:rRNA from 1 species